rnacentral:lncRNA from 1 species
GCUAGUAACCAAAUGUAAUCUCUGAGCGCCAUCUCCUGGAACACUUUACCACAUCACACCAGCCUCCGUCAUCCUGGCCUCAACAAGGCACUGGGCACCACUGCCGGAAGCUACAGGACAGGAAGGCCCUGGGGGCAGGCAAUGCCUGUUAGCCCCCUGUGCCUUCUGUCCCCAGGGACUCCCUUCUCUAUCUCUACUGCCCAAGUCAAGACCUGUUCUCCCACCACGGAUCAAACUCAUGUCCCCUGUGCUGGGAAACCACUGGACUGCCAGGCAAGUCCUUCAGGAGCUUCAGUCUUUUUUUCUCUUUUUUUCCCUUUAGAUUUUUUUAAAAAAUGUGAACCAUGUUUUAAAGUCCUUAUUGAAUUUGUUGCAAUAUUGUUUCUGUUUUAUGUUUUGGUUCUUUAGCUGGAAGACAUAUGGGAUCUUAGCUCUCCAACCACGGAUGUUACCUGAACCUCUGCAUUUGGAAGGCGAAAUGUGAACCUCUGGACCUCCAAGGAUGUCCCAGGAGCUUCAGUCUUGACACAGGAUGGAAAAGAGGUUGACUUUGGCCACUUUUUUCCCCACUGGAAGCAAGCAGGCAAACUGCAAACCCUGGCUAGGAACGCGAAAAGGAGAGCGCACAGAAAGAGAGCAGGGCAGAGUGGACAUGUGCGCAGAUGGCGCAGUGCAGCGCGCCUGGCGGGGUAGAGCUCCUGUCCAACAGCCCGCCCUCCUCUGUCUGCAUCCUGGUGCACGAGGAGCUCCGGGGCUCAGAAAGACGGUGGGAGGCCUGCUGUUAAGGCCAUAGCUUUGCCAGGUGUGCAUGCUCCCUCAUGGGUGCUUGCGCUUCUACUUGGGUGUUUGUGGAGGAGGUCUGCGGCUGGCCUUGGUUGGGUCUGGGGAGAAGCUCAAGGCUGUGGUCCACGCUUGGAGGUCCAUCGGAGUCUACAGGGAUUGCUUUACAUGAAACCAAGGGACAGUCAGAAAAUGUGCGUAUUUAGACUUUACUGGUGAUCCAGAGAUUGAGACUCUGUGCUUCUAAUGCAGGGGGUAUGAGUUUAAUCCUUGGUUGGGGAACUAAGAUACCACAUGCCAUGUGGUGUGGCCAAAACAAAUAAAGUAAAAUGAAAC